rnacentral:lncRNA from 1 species
AGGCAGAAAAGUGAGAAAGGUUGUGAUGCCUUGAAGAGUUGACUUACAGCAUAUCAAGAUGUACUGUGGUGUCAUAGAGUCAUGGGAAAGAAACUGAUGUCAGAAUGGUAUAGUAGGCUAAGAUCACCAUGAAAAAGACCCUGUGCACUCUCCUAAAGAGACUGAAUGAUGAUCCCAGGAACCAAUGUGGCAGGCACUUGGCUUCCAGUCCUCACUGUCUGCAUCCCCACCUGCUUGGUUGAUCCCUCUGCUUGGGAGCUGCUUCCAUAUGGCCCUGCAUGGUUUGCCUUGCCUCCUGUCCCUAGCACCUCUCCGAGUGGGAAAGUCAUUGGUGUACCAGCACUAGGCAGCGCAGCUGCAGACACACAGUGAUACCAAGUAAUGUGGCAGGCCUCCUUUUAAGUGCAUCAAGUGGAGGCCUAGACAGCAGGGGCAUAAUUUAAAUAAAAUCUUCCUGAUGCAACACCUUUCAGACUCUGAAAAAGGCCCUUUUUUAGGAGGUGUGACACUCAUAUUAGAUAAGGCAAUCAUAACUGUAAACAAGCAUACUCCAGAGGACUGACAACGCUUUUUAAAAAUCCAAUUACAUGUUCUUAUUUGGUGUUAGUGCAAACAGAAAAAUAACAAGCCAACUUAUUUCAUCCCCACCGUGAUUUCCUCAAGGCUAAUUAAAGUGCACUCUGCUGAUGCCUAAAUCGUUCAACUCUAGGCAAACCAAAGAUUUAAAGGGACACACACCCAAUCAAUGUGUGGCUGUCAGUAAAUGGCAUUGUG